rnacentral:lncRNA from 1 species
CCCGUGGGGAAGCAUCCUCACACGGCUUUUUUUAGUCCCCAGACCUCAGAGAGACGCCCCCCGAGGCCCCCUGCACCCCACCCAAGCCAGGCGUCCCCAGGCGAAUGGUCUUCUGCCAAGGACGUUGCUCCCACGCCGCCGGCCUCCUGCAACGAACCUCUUGGCUUGGAGGACGGGCGGAUUCGCUACCAGCAACUGAGUGCCUCCUCCUUCCGGGACGGAAACCCUCCUGACGCUGGACGGCUGAACCUCAUCCCAAACCUGUAUGUGGAACUGGUGAAGCGAGCAAGGGACCAGGGAACCGAGUGGCG